rnacentral:rRNA from 1 species
CGGCGGACGGGUGAGUACACGUGGGUAACCUGCCUGUAAGACUGGGAUAACUCCGGGAAACCGGGGCUAAUACCGGAUGCUUGAUUGAACCGCAUGGUUCAAUCAUAAAAGGUGGCUUUCAGCUACCACUUGCAGAUGGACCCGCGGCGCAUUAGCUAGUUGGUGAGGUAACGGCUCACCAAGGCGACGAUGCGUAGCCGACCUGAGAGGGUGAUCGGCCACACUGGGACUGAGACACGGCCCAGACUCCUACGGGAGGCAGCAGUGGUCAUAG